AUUGAACGCUGGCGGCAGGCCUAACACAUGCAAGUAGAGCGAGCGCCGGACGGGGGCGGAAUGUCUGGGAAACUGCCUGAUGGAGGGGGAUAAAUACUGGAAACGGUAGCUAAUACCGCACACCAUCAGAUGUGCCCAUCUGUGAUUAGCUAGUAGGGGGGGUAACGGCUCACCUAGGCGACGAGCCCUAGCUGGUCUGAGAGGAUGACCAGCCACACUGGAACGGAGACACGGUCCAGACUCCUACGGGAGGCAGCAGUGGGGAAUAUUGCACAAUGGGCGCAAGCCUGAUGCAGCCAUGCCGCGUGUGUGAAGAAGGCCUUCGGGUUGUAAAGCACUUUCAGCCGGGAGGCGUUACCCGCAGAAGAAGCACCGGCUAACUCCGUGCCAGCAGCCGCGGUAAUUC
rnacentral:rRNA from 1 species